rnacentral:rRNA from 1 species
AUGCCUGCAUUGAGACCAGCAUGGGGGAACCCAAGGGGAUUGUCAGCAAAACCAGUGGGGGAUAAUACUUUUAUUGUGGAAUUUGCUAACAAGGAAGACUUGGAUAGAGUUGUGGGAGGGGCUCCUUGGACAGUAGGUAAACAUGCAGUUCUGUUCAAGAUCUUUGAUCCAAGACUGAAACCGUCUGAAGUUACUUUUGACAGAAUUUCUUUGUGGGCACGAAUCAAGGACCUUCGCUUUGAAUUAAUGAAUAGGACCUGGGGGGAAUCCCUGGGUGCUAAAAUUGGUACUGUAGAGAAGGUUGAUGUAGAUAGCCAGGGUAACUAUCUACGAAUUCGAGUUUCUGUGGAGAUCUCAAAGCCGCUAAUGAGAUGGGUCACCGUUUUUUCAAAGAAGAAAGCUUAUGAGAGGUAUGAAGUGCAAUAUGAAAAAAUUCCACACUACUGCUUCUCCUGUGGCAUCAUUGGCCAUUCUUCACUAGAAUGUUCAACCCCGGGAGAGAGAGGUGAGGAUGGUAAACUUCCUUAUAAUGCCGACAGGCUGUGCGUGAAGGAUGACAAAAAAGAAAAAUAUUUUUACUUCAUGGUCAGGACAGAGUUCACAGUCUAG